UUGUUUGUUUUUAAGUGCAUUUGAAUCCAUGGAGAGAGGAGCACAGACAGAGCCAGCUGGUGGGGAGUGGACACAGGAAAGGUUCCUGGUCUCAGGGGUGGUGCCUUGCGUCCCUCCUCUCGUUGUUUCCUGCCAAGGUGCCAGAUGUCUGUCCACCAGCUGAGCUUGGCCAGGCAGACAUGGCUAAGGUGCCUGGAGCCCAUGAGGAAGGUCUGACAGGCACAUCGGCUUUGGAUUCGGCACUGGCCCUGGGGCCGGAGGGCUUUUCUCCCUAAAGGGACACCUCCUCCUUGCUGCUCUACUGGUCCCUAUUGCAACUUGGAAAAAUGCUGAGCAGGGGAGGCACAGGCGGGGCCACUCAGCAUCAAAGUCAGGAGGGGAAGAUACUCAGAGCCCACCUGGGACAUCCUCCUUCUUAUCUUACUAGGAGGGGGAAACUGAGGCACCAAGUUACCUGGUGAGGAAUGCAAGGGAAAAAAUCAUGGGGUGAACCUGACCCAGGGACUCCAGGCUCCAAGCCUUUGUCCUUCCAACAGUGCCCCAAGGGUUUCUCUUAAAUUGUGUUGGGGUAAUGGGAAAUCAGGGUUUUCCUGAGAUCAUCCACCCAAGUCUCCACCCCUACAAAUAAUACUAUUUAUUGAGCAUUUACUAUGUGCCAGCUCCAUCCUGAUACUUUACAUUUACUAACUCAUAACAACCCAUGAGAUUAAUACUCUUAUUAUCCUUAUUUUCCAGAGGUGGAAACUGAGUCAGACAGAGGCGAGGUGACUUGUCUGAGGUCACAGCUAGUGAGUGGUGAAGCCAAGAUUGGAACCCAGGCAAUCCAGCUUGGAAGGACAAAGGAUGGGGUCUCUGAAACAUCUCCAGCCUCAGCCCUGCUCCUGGGCUUCUCUCUCAUCCAGACAUGGCUGCAGACUCUGGGCUGGGACUGGCCUCCCUACCUCCCCUUCAAUCCAGUGCUUCCCUGCUGCCAGAAGGAGCUUUCCAGAAAGCACAUGUCACCACAGCCCUCUCUUGCCGGAACCCAACCUCUACAGGAGACCAAGCUGCCUCCUACAGACCACAGGACCUCCAAGACUCACCAUCGCCACCUCUUGUUAUUCCUGCCGUGACUUUCCUAUCACCACCAUCAAAGGAGAGUCCCCCAGAGAUUACAUCUCAUGGCCCGGGCUUGCGGAGUGCUGGGCUCCCAGACAAAUGCAAUCAAAGGAGACAUGUCUCCUGGGAAGAGCCUCCCACAACC